CAUAGGUUAAUGAGGCGAACCGGGGGAACUGAAACAUCUAAGUACCCCGAGGAAAAGAAAUCAACCGAGAUUCCCCCAGUAGCGGCGAGCGAACGGGGAGGAGCCCAGAGCCUGAAUCAGUGUGUGUGUUAGUGGAAGCGUCUGGAAAGGCGCGCGAUACAGGGUGACAGCCCCGUACACAAAAAUGCACAUAUUGUGAGCUCGAUGAGUAGGGCGGGACACGUGGUAUCCUGUCUGAAUAUGGGGGGACCAUCCUCCAAGGCUAAAUACUCCUGACUGACCGAUAGUGAACCAGUACCGUGAGGGAAAGGCGAAAAGAACCCCGGCGAGGGGAGUGAAAAAGAACCUGAAACCGUGUACGUACAAGCAGUGGGAGCCUCUUAAUGGGGUGACUGCGUACCUUUUGUAUAAUGGGUCAGCGACUUAUAUUCUGUAGCAAGGUUAACCGAAUAGGGGAGCCGAAGGGAAACCGAGUCUUAACUGGGCGUUAAGUUGCAGGGUAUAGACCCGAAACCCGGUGAUCUAGCCAUGGGCAGGUUGAAGGUUGGGUAACACUAACUGGAGGACCGAACCGACUAAUGUUGAAAAAUUAGCGGAUGACUUGUGGCUGGGGGUGAAAGGCCAAUCAAACCGGGAGAUAGCUGGUUCUCCCCGAAAGCUAUUUAGGUAGCGCCUCGUGAAUUCAUCUCCGGGGGUAGAGCACUGUUUCGGCAAGGGGGUCAUCCCGACUUACCAACCCGAUGCAAACUGCGAAUACCGGAGAAUGUUAUCACGGGAGACACACGGCGGGUGCUAACGUCCGUCGUGAAGAGGGAAACAACCCAGACCGCCAGCUAAGGUCCCAAAGUCAUGGUUAAGUGGGAAACGAUGUGGGAAGGCCCAGACAGCCAGGAUGUUGGCUUAGAAGCAGCCAUCAUUUAAAGAAAGCGUAAUAGCUCACUGGUCGAGUCGGCCUGCGCGGAAGAUGUAACGGGGCUAAACCAUGCACCGAAGCUGCGGCAGCGACACUAUGUGUUGUUGGGUAGGG
rnacentral:rRNA from 1 species